GGAACAUAUACUGGAACUUAUGAGUAGAACUUUGGAGAGACCAAGUUUGCCUCACAAUGAGUAAUAUUCUAGUUCUGCACUGUCGUAUAGUGACUUCAGUCACUAAGCUACAUGUCUCUAUGGAGCACUUGAAAUGUGACUGGUUCAAAGUGAGAUUUGCUGUACACAAGCAGAGACUGGGUCAUAGUUCUGACAAGAGGACCUCACAGAAGACUCCAUUUGGUGUGCAUUUGAUCUAAAUUUGUGUUCUCAAUCUGUGCUCAGAUGAAUGCUUGGGCUCCAGCAGCACCCAGAUUUGUCAUAGGGGAAGGAGGAGGAGGACAAAGAGGUCUUUCUGUCUUCCCUUCCUCUUUCAAACAGAGAGCUGAUCAGUAU
rnacentral:lncRNA from 10 species